rnacentral:tRNA from 1 species
UGUUCUGUAGCUUAGUUGGUUAAAGCGCCGGACUAGCGAUAACGGAGUCGUGGGUUCAAAUCCUUCCAAAACAA